AUUGAACGCUAGCGGCAGGCCUCACACAUGCAUGUCGAGCGGAGCGGCGGACGGGUGAGUAAUGCCUCGGAAUCUGCCUGGUUGUGGGGGAUAACGUCCGGAAACGUGCGCCAGUACCGCAUACUAUCAGAUGAGCCUAGGUCGGAUUAGCUAGUUGGUGGGGUAAAGGCCUACAAGGGCGACGAUCCGUAACUGGUCUGAGAGGAUGAUCAGUCACACUGGAACUGAGACACGGUCCAGUCUCCUACGGGAGGCAGCAGUGGGGAAUAUUGGACAAUGGGCGAAAGCCUGAUCCAGCCAUGCCGCGGUUGUGAAGAAGGUCUUCGGAUUGUAAAGCACUUUAAGUUGGGAGGCGUUACCAACAGAAUAAGCACCGGCUAACGUCGUGCCAGCAGCCGCGGUAAUAC
rnacentral:rRNA from 1 species